rnacentral:rRNA from 1 species
GCGCGGGGCAACCUGGCGGCGAGCGGCGAACGGGUGAGAAUGCAUCGGAACAUGUCCAAUUGUGGGGGAUAGCCCGGCGAAAGCCGGAUUAAUACCGCAUGAGCCCGAGAGGGGAAAGUGGGGGACCGCAAGGCCUCACGCGAUUGGGUUGGCCGAUGUCCGAUUAGCUAGUUGGCGGGGUAAAGGCCCACCAAGGCGAUGAUCGGUAGCUGGUCUGAGAGGAUGAUCAGCCACACUGGGACUGAGACACGGCCCAGACUCCUACGGGAGGCAGCAGUGGGGAAUUUUGGACAAUGGGGGAAACCCUGAUCCAGCCAUUCCGCGUGAGUGAAGAAGGCCUUCGGGUUGUAAAGCUCUUUUGUCCGGAACGAAACGGCUACGACUAAUACUCGUGGCUACUGACGGUACCGGAAGAAUAAGCACCGGCUAACUACGUGCCAGCAGCCGCGGUAAUACGUAGGGUGCGAGCGUUAAUCGGAAUUACUGGGCGUAAAGCGUGCGCAGGCGGUUUUGCAAGCCAGAUGUGAAAUCCCCGGGCUCAACCUGGGAAUGGCAUUUGGGACUGCAAGGCUGGAGUGUGGCAGAGGAGACUGGAAUUCCUGGUGUAGCAGUGAAAUGCGUAGAUAUCAGGAGGAAUACCGAUGGCGAAGGCAGGUCUCUGGGCUGACACUGACGCUCAUGCACGAAAGCGUGGGGAGCAAACAGGAUUAGAUACCCUGGUAGUCCACGCCCUAAACGAUGUCGACUGGUUGUUGGGGGUUUGACACUCUCAGUAACGAAGCUAACGCGUGAAGUCGACCGCCUGGGGAGUA